CAGUCGAACGCUUACCGGAUUUCGGUCCGGUGGGAGUGGCGCACGGGUGAGUAGCGCGUGGGAACCUGCCCUGUUGUGGGGGAUAACCGAGGGAAACUUCGGCUAAUACCGCAUGCGCCCCUGGGAGCGGUCUUCGGAUUAGUCCUGGGGGGAAAGAUUUAUCGCAGCAGGAGGGGCCCGCGUCGGAUUAGCUGGUUGGUGGGGUAACGGCCUACCAAGGCACCGAUCCGUAGCUGGUCUGAGAGGAUGAUCAGCCACACUGGGACUGAGACACGGCCCAGACUCCUACGGGAGGCAGCAGUGGGGAAUAUUGGACAAUGGGGGCAACCCUGAUCCAGCAAUGCCGCGUGAGUGAUGAAGGCCUUCGGGUUGUAAAGCUCUUUCGCCCGCGACGAUGAUGACGGUAGCGGGAGAAGAAGCCCCGGCUAACUUCGUGCCAGCAGCCGCGGUAAUACGAAGGGGGCGAGCGUUGUUCGGAAUCACUGGGCGUAAAGGGCGCGUAGGCGGCCCUGUUUGUCGCGUGUGAAAGCCCCGGGCUCAACCUGGGAAUGGCGCGCGAGACGGUGGGGCUGGAGUUCGGGAGAGGAGCGUGGAAUUCCCAGUGUAGAGGUGAAAUUCGUAGAUAUUGGG
rnacentral:rRNA from 1 species